rnacentral:rRNA from 1 species
CGUGCCUAACACAUGCAAGUCGAGCGCGAUUAAUUGGAGUGAAGCUUCGGCAGAGCGAAGAUUAUGAAAGCGGCGGACGGGUGAGUAACACGUGGGUAACCUGCCUGACAGACUGGGAUAACGCUUGGAAACGAGUGCUAAUACCAGAUAGGCUCUUUGACCGCAUGGUUGAAGAGGGAAAGAGGAUAUCGCAUAACUGUUAGAUGGACACGGGGCGCAUUAGCUAGUUGGUGAGGUAACGGCUCACCAAGGCGACGAUGCGUAGCCGACCUGAGAGGGUGACCGGCCACACUGGGACUGAGACACGGCCCAGACUCCUACGGGAGGCAGCAGUAGGGAAUCUUCCACAAUGGGCGCAAGCCUGAUGGAGCAACGCCGCGUGAGUGAUGAAAGCCUUCGGGUUGUAAAACUCUGUCUUCUGUGACGAACAAGCCUGUGAGUGGAAAGCUCAGGCCCUGACGGUAACAGAGGAGGAAGCCACGGCUAACUACGUGCCAGCCGCCGCAGUAAAAC